rnacentral:lncRNA from 1 species
GCAGUUUUGUUUGCACCAUUGCAUUUGAUCAAUGUACGUAGGAGAUUGAAUAUUGCCUUGACAUCUCGCAGUGCACGGGAUCCUGCAUGCCAUGAAGGCUUUCCCCUUAGUAUGUGGCCAGUUAUGUUAUGUUAGCAAAGUUCUGUAAAUACGUGCCCCACUUAUACGUGAUAACGUAUAGAGUGAUUGCUGAAUGCAUGACAAUACGUGCAAUAGACCGGCGCACUUGCAGCACUGAUUCGCCUUUCACUGAGUCCACUUCUCUGUACCCCAGUUUGCAGAAUUCCAGGCACGUGCACAACUCAAGGAAUACAGGAUGGUGGAGGAUUGUGUCGAAGGAAUUACUGGUGACCCUUUCCCUUCCACGAAUGUUUGCAAACAAGCACGUACAUGGAGUUUGCUUUCAGCGGCAUCGGCUGAUACAUAGCAUCCGGCUGUAACAGCCAUUUUGGUGGUGUUGCUUUCUGCUUGUGCAUCUUGGCGUGAUGUCAUUCUGUCAGAUUUUCAGCUCUGCUAGAUUACCUCAGUGCAGCCCUCAUCACCUCGGCGACGGCUCGUCUACCCAACGAGCGUGGCUUCAUUGCAACCCCUUUCAAACUAGUGGGCGUAACUCAGGCUACUCUGAAGGAGUGGUUGUCGGAGAGCGGCCCACUUGCACAUACUGCAAUAAGGUCUUCAGGAAGAAGGGAACCCUGACAGCUCACCUUCGCAUCCACACUGGCGAGAAGCCAUUCCAUUGUCACCUGUGCCCUAGGAGCUUCACGCAGAGGGCAACUCUCGUGUAUCACAGGCGAACGCACACUGGAGAAAAGCCAUAUCAGUGUCGCUACUGUCCCAGGUCCUUUGCGCGAAAGAUGAUACAGAUGGACCACGAGCGCAGAAGGCAUCUGAAGCAUUUGAACGCUCCCUGAAGAAGCUCUCACUGUGUCCUACGUGAUGAGCAUCGUUUGUGCACUUUGGGAGGCAGACGUGGUUUCGUCGACUAAACGAAGAGCUUGAAUACGAAAUGCAGCCUCGCGAUUAGUGAGGCUGCCUUUGUAUCAAAGGGUGCUGAGGGUACUUUAGAAGACAGAAGGGUAUCUUGAAGGGCCAGUUGUUACAUAUUACUGCGAUGAAAACAGUGCGAAAAUGGGAAAGAGGGUAAGAGGUGCUUGUGUUGCCUGCUUUUCACGUUCCUCACUGAAGUUUUUGGCUGAUACGUGGUGUCACAGUGAACCACCAUUUUCGGGCUCCUGUGCUUUCAAAACCAUCACGGUUAGCUUUUGCUGUCCUGCAACACUUGAUGCGUGGAAAUGAAGUGUGUCUAAUUUAUACGUAUCGUAACGUAUACAGCUGCCACAAAGUAGAGGUAUUUCAUAGGAAAACUAUCCUCGUGUCAAAGUAAUUGGAAAUAACUUAUUACCGUUGUUAGGUUAUUAUAAUCGUAAUAGCCUAACCAUAAUUAAGUUAUUACCAUCAUCCCUGUCCCUUCUUUAAAUUGAGUGUAUAAAUAUAAAUUAUGAAAGCUACAAACCAGUGAUAGAAAUUUUUGUAUAUAUGCUUGCUUCAUUAAUAUUUUUGAGAAAUUUGAAGAGAAAGUCUCGGUGCAUUGUUCCCCUACCUACCUGAUUUGUUGUGGCUUGACUGCGAAAAGUGCCGCCAUUUAUUUCCCCAGUGAUUUUGCACAGUGAUGUGAUUUUCGUAUGGUGUUAUUCGACCUCAUGUCAAAUGCGAGGCAUGGAUGCCUGAAAAGAAUUCAUACCUCACACUUCCUGAAGGCAGUCCAUGCCUUACAGUGGAUUCCGUUCAAGAAUCCAUGGGACUAACUGAUCAGUUUUAUGGAUCACAAUUUUAUUGUUGUGCUCACACAGGCAACAGCAAGGGCAAGCAUGCAAAUAACCUUUGGGUUAUGGCGUUAUAUGUGGUGCUGGCGCUUUGCAAUGGUAUUUCUCGUGAAAUAUUUUUCUUGAUUGGUUUGCUAAACAGUAUGUCAAGAUAAUUUAACGUGUACUUUGCGUAUUACUCGCAUUACCCAUUCACUGAACAACCAGAGUGUUUAUUAGCAAAUGAAGCAAUGAAGCCAAGUUAUCACUUUGAAUCUCUUUCCAAUUGUAUGUGUAUGAUUGUCAUCAUUUUUUAUCUCUGCACUGGCAUGCAGUCUUAGCAUGCAUUAUGACGAAGCUUUUGCUGAAUACAUGGGAACGGAGAUCUUUCAGCAACCCCUGCACCGAUUUUGAUGUGGUAUGUCGCACUUAAAAGAAGUCAUAAUCUAGUGGCUGUAGGAAGCAGGUUUUUUUAUUGUGACCUUUAUUUCUCGAAAGAAAUCUAUUAAGUAUUGUUUACAACCUAUUAAAGUGUGUAAUGUUGAAGAUUGGAUGAGUUGGUAUGACAUGUUUGCUCCCUCUAUGCAUAAUGUUCCUCUGCUUUUAUAUUUUGUGAAUCAUAACACUUUCCAGCAGUAAGUUUUCAACUCUGUAACUUGGCCAUGAAAAACAGUAUUUCAGCACUGUAUACUACACCUAAUAAACAAUGAACCUAACGUAGAAAAAGUUGAUAUGCCGGUAUACAUUACACUGAAAUAUACUACUUUUUGAGUAUGGCCUUUGCAAAACCAAACUCAGCAUUGUAAGAAUUUUGCAUCAUUUGUAAAUGAAUAUGUCAGAUUUGUGCUCUUUCAAUGCUCUGAUGGAUGCAGUUUAUAGAACUGGGAUAUCUGCUUUUGGUUCGCACGGCAAAUCUGUACACGAGUUUUCGUUUAAUUGUUCACAUACUGUGGAGCAUACACAAGGGUUACAGUAAUCGGUGACUAGUGAAUAAUGGUUUCAUGUUAACCUCCUGCUGUAUCUUCAUAACUAUUACAACUUGCACAGUCAAAGGACAAUUAUGUGUACUGCUGCCCAUCUUUGCUCCACUUGUCACCUUGAUGUUUGCAUUCUCUCUGUUAUGAUUUUUAUCAUUGCCUUCUUCACAUUACAAAUGUGACUGUGCCUUUUUACACUGAAAUAUACUGGAGCACUUUAGCCUGUGGUCA